rnacentral:misc_RNA from 1 species
GCCCAUAGCCAACGCCAGUCUCAACUGCAUGACCAAAGGUAUGACCCAAGUUCAAAGUUGCCCUCACUCCGCUUUCCUUCUCAUCUUGAGAAACAACAUCUGCUUUGUUUUCACAGGAACGCUUGAUAGCAUAGGUAAAUGCAGUGGGGUCCCUUGCUAAUAAUAAUGGCAUAUUCUGUUCUUGCCACUCGAAAAACUCAGCAUCUCUAAUGAGUCCAUAUUUUAUUACUUCUGCGAGGCCAGAUGCUAAUUCUCUAUCUGGUAAAGUAUUCAGGGUAUCCGUGUCUAUAAGCACACAUUGUGGCUGGUAGAAUGCUCCAAUCAUAUUUUUACCAAGUGGAUGGUUUAUUCCAGUUUUGCCUCCAACAGAAGAAUCUACCUGUGCCAUAACAGUGGUGGGGAUCUGAAUAAAAUUAACUCCACGAAGGUAGGAAGCGGCGGCAUAACCACACAUGUCACCUAUAACUCCACCACCGAGAGCGACAAAUGUACAACGACGAUCCAGCCUUGAUUCGAUGGCUUUA